GGUCCAAUUGCGGAGUGGCCCGCGCCUGCAUUACGUACACGAAUAUCACCGUGUGAUAUGCAGGAGACGCCUGUUCGAUUCGGGCUUGGACCA